rnacentral:rRNA from 1 species
GAUGAACGCUGGCGGCGUGCCUAAUACAUGCAAGUCGAGCGAACAGACGAGGAGCUUGCUCCUCUGACGUUAGCGGCGGACGGGUGAGUAACACGUGGAUAACCUACCUAUAAGACUGGGAUAACUUCGGGAAACCGGAGCUAAUACCGGAUAAUAUAUUGAACCGCAUGGUUCAAUAGUGAAAGACGGUUUUGCUGUCACUUAUAGAUGGAUCCGCGUCGCAUUAGCUAGUUGGUAAGGUAACGGCUUACCAAGGCAACGGUUCGUAGCUGACCUGAGAGGAUGAUCGGCCACACUGGAACUGAGACACGGUCCAGACUCCUACGGGAGGCAGCAGUAGGGAAUCUUCCGCAAUGGGCGAAAGCCUGACGGAGCAACGCCGCGUGAGUGAUGAAGGUCUUCGGAUCGUAAAACUCUGUUAUUAGGGAAGAACAAAUGUGUAAGUAACUAUGCACGUCUUGACGGUACCUAAUCAGAAAGCCACGGCUAACUACGUG